AGAGUUUGAUCCUGGCUCAGAACGAACGCUGGCGGCAGGCUUAACACAUGCAAGUUGAACGUGAUUUGCUGGGUGCUUGCACCGAGCAAUGAAAGUAGCGCACUGGUGAGUAACACGUGGGAACGUACCUUUUGGUGGGGAACAACAGUUGGAAACGACUGCUAAUACCGCAUAAGCCCUGAGGGGGAAAGAUUUAUCGCCGAAAGAACGGCCCGCGGAAGAUUAGGUAGUUGGUGGGGUAACGGCCUACCAAGCCGACGAUCUAUAGCUGGUCUGAGAGGACGAUCAGCCACAUUGGAACUGAGACACGGUCCAAACUCCUACGGGAGGCAGCAGUGAGGAAUAUUGGGCAAUGGAGGCAACUCUGACCCAGCCAUGCCGCGUGAGUGAAGAAGGUUUUCGGAUUGUAAAGCUCUUUCGGGUGUGACGAUGAUGACGGUAGCACCUAAAGAAGCCCCGGCUAACUUCGUGCCAGCAGCCGCGGUAAUACGAAGGGGGCAAGCGUUGUUCGGAAUUACUGGGCGUAAAGGGAGUGUAGGCGGUUAUGUAAGAUAGUGGUGAAAUCCCAGAGCUUAACUUUGGAAUUGCCAUUAUGACUAUGUGGCUAGAAUUACAGAGAGGAUAGUGGAAUACCCAGUGUAGAGGUGAAAUUCGUAGAUAUUGGGUAGAACACCAGUGGCGAAGGCGACUAUCUGGCUGUAUAUUGACGCUGAGGCUCGAAAGCAUGGGGAUCAAACAGGAUUAGAUACCCUGGUAGUCCAUGCUGUAAACGAUGAGUGCUUGUUGUCGGUGUAAAAUCGGUGACGAAGUUAACGCGUUAAGCACUCCGCCUGGGGAGUACGGUCGCAAGAUUAAAACUCAAAGGAAUUGACGGGGACCCGCACAAGCGGUGGAGCAUGUGGUUUAAUUCGA
rnacentral:rRNA from 1 species